UAUAUCUCGUUGAAACACUAGUUCCCAUACAAUUACUAAAGUUAAGCAAUGUUGAGCCUGGUCAGUACCUAGUUUGGUGACCACUUGGGAAUACCAGGUGUUAUA